rnacentral:rRNA from 1 species
UACGAAGGGGGCUAGCGUUGCUCGGAAUCACUGGGCGUAAAGCGCACGUAGGCGGCUUUCUAAGUCAGGGGUGAAAUCCUGGAGCUCAACUCCAGAACUGCCUUUGAUACUGGAGAGCUUGAGUCCGGGAGAGGUGAGUGGAACUCCGAGUGUAGAGGUGAAAUUCGUAGAUAUUCGGAAGAACACCAGUGGCGAAGGCGGCUCACUGGCCCGGUACUGACGCUGAGGUGCGAAAGCGUGGGGAACAAACAGG